rnacentral:rRNA from 1 species
AGCUCCAAUAGCGUAUAUUAAAGUUGCUGCAGUUAAAAAGCUCGUAGUUGGAUUUGUGGCGCGGCCGUCCGGCGGGGGCUCUUCACUGAGCCCGUUUGUCCUGGUUUUCGGCCGCUCCUUUCUCGGGUAGCGUGUGGCUGGCAUUAGGUUGUUGGCCGCUUCGCGCCCGUCUUUUACUGUGAAAAAAUUAGAGUGUUCAAAGCAGGCUUAGGCCGUUGGAUUAAUAAGAUAGGGCCACGACGGUCUAUUUUGUUGGUUUGCACGUUGUGGUAAUGGUUAACAGGAAUAGUUGGGGGUAUUCGUAUUCAAUUGUCAGAGGUGAAAUUCUUGGAUUUGUGGAAGACGAACUACUGCGAAAGCAUUUACCAAGGAUGUUUUCA